GACGAACGCUGGCGGCGUGCUUAACACAUGCAAGUCGAACGGAAAGGCCCUGCUUGCAGGGUACUCGAGUGGCGAACGGGUGAGUAACACGUGGGUGAUCUGCCCUGCACUUCGGGAUAAGCCUGGGAAACUGGGUCUAAUACCGGAUAGGAGCCAUUUUUAGUGUGAUGGUUGGAAAGUUUUUUCGGUGUAGGAUGAGCUCGCGGCCUAUCAGCUUGUUGGUGGGGUAAUGGCCUACCAAGGCGGCGACGGGUAGCCGGCCUGAGAGGGUGGACGGCCACAGUUGGACCUGGAUCAGGCCCAGGCUCCUACCGGAGGGAGCAGUGGGGAAUAUUGCACAAAGGGCGCAAGCCUGAAGCAGCGACGCCGCGGGGGGGAUGACGGCCUUCGGGUUGUAAACUCCUUUCGCUAGGGACGAAGCUUUUUGUGACGGUACCUAGAUAAGAAGCACCGGCUAACUACGUG
rnacentral:rRNA from 1 species